rnacentral:rRNA from 1 species
GACGAACGCUGGCGGCGUGCCUAAUACAUGCAAGUCGAGCGCAGGAAACUGACGGAACUCUUCGGAGGGAAGGCAGCGGAAUGAGCGGCGGACGGGUGAGUAACACGUAAGGAGCCUGCCUCAAGGAUUGGGAUAACUCCGAGGAAUCGGAGCUAAUACCGGAUAGUUCAUCGGACCGCAUGGUCCGUUGAUGAAAGGCGCUUCGGCGUCCCCUUGAGAUGGCCUUGCGGUGCAUUAGCUAGUUGGUGGGGUAACGGCCCACCAAGGCGACGAUGCAUAGCCGACCUGAGAGGGUGAUCGGCCACACUGGGACUGAGACACGGCCCAGACUCCUACGGGAGGCAGCAGUAGGGAAUCUUCCACAAUGGACGAAAGUCUGAUGGAGCAACGCCGCGUGAGUGAUGAAGGUUUUCGGAUCGUAAAACUCUGUUGUAAGGGAAGAACACGUACGAGAGGAAAUGCUCGUACCUUGACGGUACCUUACGAGAAAGCCACGGCUAACUACGUGCCAGCCGCCGCAGUAA